rnacentral:sRNA from 1 species
GGUCAGCGCCGCUUGGUUUUGCAUCGCGCCGCGGACGAAAUAAGUGAUAUUUUCGACCAUUAAUAAUUGUGUUUGUUUUAUUUUUGGUUGAAUCAUUAAUUAAUUAAUAGCUGUAAAUACGAAAGAGCAGCAGAAAAAGCAACAAACAACUGUGUCGCGGCCGUGGCGUGAGUUCAACUUUUUUUCUUUCAGUCAAACGAAGAGUAAAAAGACAACAACAAAAAAUUAGAGUAAAAGCAACGGUAUAACAAAACAAGGAUCGGAGCAGCAGCGGCAGUGAAAAAAAAGAGAAGCAAAGCAGCAGGCAGUCGCACGACGCAGACGACGAUCAGCAGAGAGGAGCGGCAGCGCAACAGGAACCACCUCUCUCUCUCUCUCUCUCACACUCUUGUGCGCUCUUUCUCCCGCUCCCCAGAUACGGAUACAGAUGCCCGAAGUUUGCUUCACAGACAGUGCUUUCCACCAAAGAUCGUACUACUCCAUUGGGGAUCCAUGGGAUAAGCAGUGCAAAAACAUAUUCUAGGGAAAGUAAAUAUGAUAAUAUCCAGCGCUACGAUGGGCCUCGUGGCGCCAAAGCGCCGUUUAUUUGCAACGCAUCUCAGACGCUAAAAGCCAAAGAGAUAGAAUAAUAAUAGUAGGAGCCGCAGUCGCAGCGGUGGGCCAGUGCCAGGGCCAGCACCAGCACCAGCACUCCCCCCCUUCCGAACGCCACCCGCCCCCACCCACAAAUGAGGAGGGGUGGGCAACGACGGGCCAACAACAGGUUGAGGAGCACAUACAUAGGCAAAAGCCCACAACAAAAUCAAAAGCAAAUGCCAGAGCAAAGGCAAAGGCAAAAGCAAAAGCAACAAAAACACGACAAAUAGAAAGAAGCAGACAAAAUAAAACAGAGAAAACCACCAAAACCGCAAAAACAACAAGCAGAGAAGCCACCGAAAGAGAGCGGCAGACCAACCGACCGACCGACCGACCGACCGACCGACAGGACCGACCGGGCAGCCGUGAGAGUAAAAGAGGGAGAGAGUAAUCCAAUCAAAAACCAAACACAAACGCAGCAGAGCAGCAGCAGCCGAGCGGCAGCGAC